CCAGGAUCGGUGAGGGCUGGGAGCGAUCCCAGGGGGAUUUGAGAGAUUUUCUUGGGAUAUUCUUGGGAUUUCGGGAGGUUUUGGGGUGGUUUUUGGGGAUUUCAGGCUGGUUUGGUGCUUAAAAGUUCCCAGCAGGAGGGGAGUGCCAGGAUCGGUGAGGGCUGGGAGCGAUCCUGGAGGGGUUUUGGGGGGAUUUCUUGGGAUUUCGGGUGGUUUUUGGGGAUUUCUGGAUGAUUCUGCACCCAAACAUUCCCAAAAUCCAUCCUGGAGAGGCCCCAGCAGGAGGAGUGCCAGGAUAGGUGAGGGCUGGGAGUGAUCCUGGAGGGGUUUUGGGAUGGGUUUGGUGGGAUUUGGGAUGGGUUUUGCGGUGGUUUUUGGGGAUUUCUGGAUGAUUCUGCACCCAAACAUUCCCAAAAUCCCUGCUGGAGAGGCACCAGCAGGAGGAGUGCCAGGAUCGGUGAGGGCUGGGAUCCAUCCUAGACGGGUUUUGGGGGAAUUUCUUGGGAUUUCGGGAGGUUUUGGGGCGGUUUUGUGGUUAAAAGUUCCCCAAAUCCAUCCUGGAUUGGCCCCAGCAGGAGGAGGUGCCAGGAUCGGUGAGGGCUGGGAGCGAUCCCAGGGGGAUUUGAGAGAUUUUCUUGGGAUUUCUUGGGAUUUCUUGGAUUCCGGGAGGUUUUGGGGUGGUUUUUGGGAUUUCUGGAUGAUUCUGCACCUAAACAUUCCCAAAAUCCAUCCUGGAUUGGCCCCAGCAGGAGGAGUGCCAGGAUCGGUGAGGGCUGGGAGUGAUCCUGGAGGGGUUUUGGGAUGG